AGGAAUAUUGGUCAAUGGGCGCGAGCCUGAACCAGCCAAGUAGCGUGAAGGAUGAAGGUCCUACGGAUUGUAAACUUCUUUUAUAAGGGAAUAAAGUCACCCACGUGUGGGUGUUUGUAUGUACCUUAUGAAUAAGCAUCGGCUAACUCCGUGCCAGCAGCCGCGGUAAUACGGAGGAUGCGAGCGUUAUCCGGAUUUAUUGGGUUUAAAGGGAGCGUAGACGGGCCGUUAAGUCAGCUGUGAAAGUUUGAGGCUCAACCGUAAAAUUGCAGUUGAUACUGGCAGUCUUGAGUGCAGUAGAGGUGGGCGGAAUUCGUGGUGUAGCGGUGAAAUGCUUAGAUAUCACGAAGAACCCCGAUUGCGAAGGCAGCCUGCUAAACCGCCACUGACGUUGAGGCUCGAAAGUGUGGGUAUCAAACAGGAUUAGAUACCCUGGUAGUCCACACGGUAAACGAUGGAUACUCGCUGUUGGCGAUAGACUGUCAGCGGCUUAGCGAAAGCGUUAAGUAUCCCACCUGGGGAGUACGCCGGCAACGGUGAAACUCAAAGGAAUUGACGGGGGCCCGCACAAGCGGAGGAACAUGUGGUUUAAUUCGAUGAUACGCGAGGAACCUUACCCGGGCUUGAAUUGCAGACGAAUUGCUUGGAAACAGGCAAGCCGCAAGGCGUCUGUGAAGGUGCUGCAUGGUUGUCGUCAGCUCGUGCCGUGAGGUGUCGGCUUAAGUGCCAUAACGAGCGCAACCCUCGUGUCCAGUUACUAGCAGGUUAUGCUGAGGACUCUGGACAGACUGCCAUCGUAAGAUGUGAGGAAGGUGGGGAUGACGUCAAAUCAGCACGGCCCUUACGUCCGGGGCUACACACGUGUUACAAUGGGGGGUACAGCAGGCAGCUACCGGGCGACCGGAUGCCAAUCCCGAAAGCCUCUCUCAGUUCGGACUGGAGUCUGCAACCCGACUCCACGAAGCUGGAUUCGCUAGUAAUCGCGCAUCAGCCACGGCGCGGUGAAUACGUUCCCG
rnacentral:rRNA from 1 species